rnacentral:rRNA from 1 species
AUUGAACGCUGGCGGCAGGCCUAACACAUGCAAGUCGAGCGGAUGAAGGGAGCUUGCUCCUGGAUUCAGCGGCGGACGGGUGAGUAAUGCCUAGGAAUCUGCCUGGUAGUGGGGGAUAACGUCCGGAAACGGGCGCUAACACCGCAUACGUCCUGAGGGAGAAAGUGGGGGAUCUUCGGACCUCACGCUAUCAGAUGAGCCUAGGUCGGAUUAGCUAGUUGGUGGGGUAAAGGCCUACCAAGGCGACGAUCCGUAACCGGUCUGAGAGGAUGAUCAGUCACACUGGAACUGAGACACGGUCCAGACUCCUACGGGAGGCAGCAGUGGGGAAUAUUGGACAAUGGGCGAAAGCCUGAUCCAGCCAUGCCGCGUGUGUGAAGAAGGUCUUCGGAUUGUAAAGCACUUUAAGUUGGGAGGAAGGGCGGUAAGUUAAUACCUUGCUGUUUUGACGUUACCAACAGAAUAAGCACCGGCUAACUUCGUG